AUGUCAACAUGAGCUAAUUUAGGCCUACAAAAUAGUGCUUCCCCACUAAUAGAGCAAUUAACCUUUUUUCAUGAUCACACAUUAUUAAUUCUAGUAAUAAUUACAAUUCUAGUAGGUUACCUAAUAUUUAUACUAUUCUUCAAUAAUUACACCAACCGAUUCCUACUUCAUGGACAAAUUAUUGAAAUAAUCUGAACAAUCCUGCCAGCUAUUAUUCUUCUAUUCAUUGCCUUCCCAUCUUUGCGGUUACUAUAUCUAUUAGAUGAAAUUAGUGAGCCAGUCAUUACACUUAAGUCCAUUGGUCACCAAUGAUACUGAAGUUACGAAUAUUCAGAUUUUAUUGACUUAGAAUUCGACUCUUACAUAAUCCCAACCCAUGAACUUCCAACAGAUGGAUUCCGAUUAUUAGAUGUGGAUAACCGGGUAGUACUUCCUAUAAAUAGACAAGUACGUAUAUUAGUUACUGCCGCGGAUGUAAUUCACUCCUGAACAGUGCCAGCCCUUGGAGUAAAAGUAGAUGGAACCCCUGGACGACUAAACCAAACUAACUUUAUAAUUAGACGUCCAGGACUAUUUUUCGGUCAAUGCUCAGAAAUCUGUGGGGCUAAUCACAGUUUUAUACCAAUUGUAAUUGAAAGUGUUUACACAAAUCAUUUUAUUAAAUGGAUNUCA
rnacentral:rRNA from 1 species